AAUAGAUACCCAGGUAGUCCACGCCGUAAACGAUGUGCACUAGACCGGGGCGGUUUUGACGCCGUCCUGGUCGUAGAAAAAUCAUUAAGUGCACCGCCUGGGGAGUACGGUCGCAAGAUUAAAACUCAAAGGAAUUGACGGGGGCUCACACAAGCGGUGGAGCAUGUUGCUUAAUUCGAAGCAACGCGAAGAACCUUAUCCUGGGCUUGACAUGCACGGAUUAGUUCAUGGAAACAUGAAUGACGCUCUUCGGAGUGGAACGUGCACAGGUGCUGCAUGGCUGUCGUCAGCUCGUGCUGUGAAGUGUCGGGUUAAGUCCCUCAACGAGCGCAACCCCUAUCACUAGUUGCCAGCGCGUCAUGGCGGGGACUCUAGUGAGACUGCCGGUGUCAAACCGGAGGAAGGUGGGGAUGACGUCAAGUCCUCAUGGCCUUUAUGCCCAGGGCUGCAAACGUGCUACAAUGGUACGGACAGAGCGAAGCGAGGCCGCGAGGCGGAGCAAAUCGCAAAAACCGUGCCCCU
rnacentral:rRNA from 1 species